GUGAAUCAUCAAAUCUUUGAACGCAAAUUGCACUUUCUGGUAUUACGGUAAGUAUGUCUGUUUGAGGCUCAGUUAGAUAAACAUCGUUGUUGUUGCUGCUUUUCGUGGUGACGCGUUGGAAUUGAGUUGUCUUACUUUUGUUUAAGUGUCUUAAAAUUCUGCAUGAUUCUAGAACGUAUUUAAAUUUCUUAUGUACGUUUGAGAUAUCGAAUACUUUAUUAGGUUCGGUCAUCCUAAU
rnacentral:misc_RNA from 1 species